GACGAACGCUGGCGGCGUGCUUAACACAUGCAAGUCGAGCGGUAAGGCCCUUUCGGGGGUACACGAGCGGCGAACGGGUGAGUAACACGUGGGUGACCUGCCCUCAGCUCUGGGAUAAGCCUGGGAAACCGGGUCUAAUACUGGAUAUGACUCCAUGACGCAUGUUGUGGGGUGGAAAGCCUUGUGCGGCUGAGGAUGGGCCCGCGGCCUAUUAGCUUGUUGGUGGGGUGANGGCCUACCAAGGCGACGACGGGUAGCCGGCCUGAGAGGGCGACCGGCCACACUGGGACUGAGACACGGCCCAGACUCCUACGGGAGGCAGCAGUGGGGAAUCUUGCGCAAUGGGCGAAAGCCUGACGCAGCGACGCCGCGUGAGGGAUGACGGCCU
rnacentral:rRNA from 1 species